rnacentral:rRNA from 1 species
CCAGACUCCUACGGGAGGCAGCAGUGGGGAAUAUUGCACAAUGGGGGGAACCCUGAUGCAGCGACGCCGCGUGAGUGAAGAAGUAUUUCGGUAUGUAAAGCUCUGUCAGCAGGGAAGAAGAAAGACGGUACCUGACCAAGAAGCCCCGGCUAACUACGUGCCAGCAGCCGCGGUAAUACGUAGGGGGCAAGCGUUAUCCGGAUUUACUGGGUGUAAAGGGAGCGUAGGCGGCAGUGCAAGUCUGGAGUGAAAGGCGGGGGCUCAACCCCCGGACUGCUCUGGAAACUGUACGGCUGGAGUGCAGGAGAGGUAAGUGGAAUUCCUAGUGUAGCGGUGAGAUGCGUAGAUAUUAGGAGGAACACCAGUGGCGAAGGCGGCUUACUGGACUGUAACUGACGUUGAGGCUCGAAAGCGUGGGGAGCAAACAGGAUUAGAUACCCGGGUAGG